GGAGAGAUUCAAUAAUUUCCCCAAUUCGAAUUCCAAUAAAUUGAGAUUUUGUAAGUUUUUGGCAUGGUCCAUGGAUCCUGAUGCUGCAAAGACCACAAGAGAAUCUCUGGAUUUGGCAUUUCGCAUAUCAAACAUUAUGGACACAGGACUUGAUCGACAAGUGCUGUCGGUGCUCAUUGCUUUGUGUGACUUCGGUUUAAAUCCUGAGGCAUUGGCUGCUGUCGUAAAAGAACUCACAAGAGAAUGCUCUAGCUCUCUACCAACCCCUAGUGCUCUUUCAUCUGUCCCAUAAAUAGUUUUCUAGCAUUACCAAUGUUAUCUUUCUUUGCUUUCCCAUGGUUGUAUAUGCUGUCCAUA
rnacentral:misc_RNA from 1 species